rnacentral:rRNA from 1 species
AGAGUUUGAUCAUGGCUCAGAACGUACGCUGGCGGCACGCCUAACACAUGCAAGUCGAACGAAGUAGCAAUACUUAGUGGCAGACGGGUGAGUAACAUGUAGGUAUCUACCCUUUGGCCUGGAAUAACACGAGGAAACUUGUGCUAAUACUGGAUAAGUCUUCACGGAGAAAGCUUUAUGCACCAUUGGAUGAGCCUGCACUUGAUUAGUUUGUUGGUAGGGUAACGGCCUACCAAGACUGUGAUCAAUAGCUGAUUUGAGAGGAUGAUCAGCCACAUUGGGACUGAGACACGGCCCAAACUCCUACGGGAGGCAGCAGUGGGGAAUCUUGCACAAUGGAGGAAACUCUGAUGCAGCGAUGCCGCGUGAGUGAAGAAGGCCCUUGGGUUGUAAAGCUCUUUCGUCGGGGAAGAAAAUGACUGUACCCGAAUAAGAAGGUCCGGCUAACUUCGUGCCAGCAGCCGCGGUAAUACGAAGGGACCUAGCGUAGUUCGGAAUUACUGGGCUUAAAGAGUUCGUAGGUGGUUGAAAAAGUUGGUGGUGAAAUCCCAGAGCUUAACUCUGGAACUGCCAUCAAAACUUUUCAGCUAGAGUAUGAUAGAGGAAAGCAGAAUUUCUAGUGUAGAGGUGAAAUUCGUAGAUAUUAGAAAGAAUACCAAUUGCGAAGGCAGCUUUCUGGAUCAUUACUGACACUGAGGAACGAAAGCAUGGGUAGCGAAGAGGAUUAGAUACCCUCGUAGUCCAUGCCGUAAACGAUGUGUGUUAGACGUUGGAAAUUUAUUUUCAGUGUCGCAGCGAAAGCGAUAAACACACCGCCUGGGGAGUACGACCGCAAGGUUAAAAC